rnacentral:rRNA from 1 species
UUAAGUGAAUAAGGGCGCACGGAGGAUGCCUUGGCACUAGGAGUCGAAGAAGGACGCGACAAACGGCGAAACGCCUCGGGGAGCUGUAAGUGAGCAUUGAUCCGGGGGUAUCCGAAUGGGGAAACCCGCUAGUGGUUAUACGCUAGCACCAUAUGGUGAAUACAUAGCCAUAUAGGAGACAGACCCAGGGAACUGAAACAUCUAAGUACCUGGAGGAAAAGAAAGAAAAAUCGAUUUCCUUAGUAGCGGCGAGCGAAGUGGGAAGAGCCCAAACCGGAUUUAUCCGGGGUUGUAGGACCUUCAUAAUUGACAAAUCAUGAUAGCCGAAUGGUCUGGGAAGGCCAACCGUAGGGGGUGAGAGUCCCGUAGGUGAAAUUGUGAGAUGCAUGGAAGGAAUCCUGAGUACGGCGGGACACGUGGAAUCCCGUCGGAAUCAACGAGGACCAUCUCGUAAGGCUAAAUACUACCUAGUGACCGAUAGUGAACCAGUACCGUGAGGGAAAGGUGAAAAGAACCCCGGAAGGGGAGUGAAAGAGAACCUGAAACCGUGUGCCUACAAAUAGUCAGAGCCCGUUAAUGGGUGAUGGCGUGCCUUUUGUAGAAUGAACCGGCGAGUUACGAUUACAUGCAAGGUUAAGUCGAGGAGACGGAGCCGCAGCGAAAGCGAGUCUGAAUAGGGCGAAUGAGUAUGUGGUCGUAGACCCGAAACCAGGUGAUCUACCCAUGUCCAGGAUGAAGGUAAGGUAACACUUACUGGAGGUCCGAACCCACGCACGUUGAAAAGUGCGGGGAUGAGGUGUGGGUAGCGGAGAAAUUCCAAUCGAACCUGGAGAUAGCUGGUUCUCUCCGAAAUAGCUUUAGGGCUAGCCUCAAACGCGAGAAUCUUGGAGGUAGAGCACUGUUUGGACUAGGGGCCCAUCCCGGGUUACCGAAUUCAGACAAACUCCGAAUGCCAAUGAUUUAUGUUUGGGAGUCAGACUGCGAGUGAUAAGAUCCGUAGUCAAGAGGGAAACAGCCCAGACCACCAGCUAAGGUCCCCAAGUAUUUGUUAAGUGGAAAAGGAUGUGGCGUUGCUUAGACAACCAGGAUGUUGGCUUAGAAGCAGCCAUCAUUUAAAGAGUGCGUAAUAGCUCACUGGUCGAGUGACGCUGCGCCGAAAAUGUAUCGGGGCUAAACAAAUCACCGAAGCUGUGGAUUGAUACCUAUGGUAUCAGUGGUAGGAGAGCGUUCUAAGGGCGUUGAAGUCAGACCGGAAGGACUGGUGGAGCGCUUAGAAGUGAGAAUGCCGGUAUGAGUAGCGAAAGAUGGGUGAGAAUCCCAUCCACCGUAUGACUAAGGUUUCCUGAGGAAGGCUCGUCCGCUCAGGGUUAGUCGGGACCUAAGUCGAGGCCGAUAGGCGUAGACGAUGGACAACAGGUUGAUAUUCCUGUACCACCACCCCGCCGUUUGAGUGAUGGGGGGACGCAGUAGGAUAGGGUAAGCGUGCUGUUGGUUAUGCACGUCCAAGCAGUGAGGUGUGAGUGUAGGCAAAUCCGCACUCUGUAACAUUGAGCUGUGAUGGCGAGGACGAAUGUCCGGAGUUCCUGAUUUCACACUGCCAAGAAAAGCCUCUAACGAGGCGGGAGGUGCCCGUACCGCAAACCGACACAGGUAGUCGAGGAGAGAAUCCUAAGGUGAGCGAGAGAACUCUCGUUAAGGAACUCGGCAAAAUGACCCCGUAACUUCGGGAGAAGGGGUGCUCUUUUGGGUGCAUAGCCCAGAAGAGCCGCAGUGAAUAGGCCCAGGCGACUGUUUAGCAAAAACACAGGUCUCUGCAAAACCGUAAGGUGAAGUAUAGGGGCUGACGCCUGCCCGGUGCUGGAAGGUUAAGAGGAGUGCUUAGCGCAAGCGAAGGUGCGAAUUGAAGCCCCAGUAAACGGCGGCCGUAACUAUAACGGUCCUAAGGUAGCGAAAUUCCUUGUCGGGUAAGUUCC